rnacentral:rRNA from 1 species
AUGAACGCUGGCGGCGUGCCUAAUACAUGCAAGUCGAGCGAACAGAUGAGGAGCUUGCUCCUCUGACGUUAGCGGCGGACGGGUGAGUAACACGUGGGUAACCUACCUAUAAGACUGGGAUAACUUCGGGAAACCGGAGCUAAUACCGGAUAAUAUAUUGAACCGCAUGGUUCAAUAGUGAAAGACGGUUUUGCUGUCACUUAUAGAUGGAUCCGCGCCGCAUUAGCUAGUUGGUAAGGUAACGGCUUACCAAGGCAACGAUGCGUAGCCGACCUGAGAGGGUGAUCGGCCACACUGGAACUGAGACACGGUCCAGACUCCUACGGGAGGCAGCAGUAGGGAAUCUUCCGCAAUGGGCGAAAGCUUGACGGAGCAACGCCGCGUGAGUGAUGAAGGUCUUCGGAUCGUAAAACUCUGUUAUUAGGGAAGAACAAAUGUGUAAGUAACGAUGCACGUCUUGACGGGACCUAAUCAGAAAGCCACGGCUAACUACGU